GAAAGAGCACAAGAUUGCAUUAUAUAUUAUAGGAUUCACAAAAAAAAAAGGGAAAAAAGGUUAGAACUAGCAUUAAAAAAAAUAGAGAAUGACAGCCAAUCCAUUUCUACUUUCUAGAUCGUCAUUAUUAGACAUCCUAGUAAUAAUGCAUAUAAUAUUAAAAGGAGAACAAAAGUCAAACAUGAAAUAAAAAUAUAUACAAAAUUAAAAACAUUUUACUUGUUCCUAAAUUGUAUGUAACAGUUAUGGGGGCUGAUAGCAUAAAAACUAUAAGAUCACUUUUAAAUUAAUUAUGGAUAAAUCUCAAUACCAAGCAUUAAACUUAAAUAGUAACAAUCUGUUAUGUAAUAUAUAUUAAACUAUACUAACGGGCAGCUCGGUGCAUUAAGCUCCCACGAAAAUCAGAUCACAAAGGUCUAUUGUAUGCAACAUUACCCUACAUUUUUGUAAAAUGCUGUUUUUAUGACUUGAACUGGUGAUCUCCUAAUCACGUGGCAGUGCUAAUCGUGUAAAAAAAAAAUUAGAAGGACAACUGAAUUAACUUUACCUGUGCAAUGGGAGUGAAAAUGCUUCCUUGAGGAGGUUUAUUUCUGUAAAAAAGAGUGCCAGCAACUAAGGUAAUUAAUCCCAAAGCCAUGGCAGCAGCAGAGACACCAAAUCCAACAUCCAUUCCAGAAUGUGUUUGUACCCAAACAAGAAGUGUAAGAGCAAUGAGUUCACCCAUUGAGGGCAGCAGCAGAGACACCAAAACCAACAUCCAUUCCAGAGUUUGUUUGUACCCAAACAAGAAGUGUAAGAGCAAUGAGUUCACCCAUUGAAAAUGCAAAAUAUGCAGCAUUGAAAUAUCUGGAUAAUUGCUUUGACUG
rnacentral:lncRNA from 1 species